GACCACUCCCAGGCUGAUCAUCCCUGGGGCUGGGAGGAAAGUUAUUUGCAGAGGAGAACAAGAUCAGGACUCUUCCUAACAAAGGCUGAGUAAGAAACUGGGUUUCUGACCUCUCUACCCCAGCAAGCUCAGAGUCCCCUGCCUUUCCUCUGUUCUGGCUCUGUGUGUUUGCAUUACUCACUCUGUGGUUAGAAGUUCAGGUAAGUAAUUCUGGAAAAGGAGCUUUUGGAAAAAGUUGCCUGGAAAACAGGACGCUGCUUGGAGUGUCAUUUCUCCUUAUCAAUUGAAUAUGGACUUAGACAACUCAGCUCAGGCCCACAGACAGAAGGGAUUAGCCUUAUCUCAGAUGAGAUUUUGGACUUGGACUUUUGAAUUAAUCCUUCAAUGACCAUAGUUUAAGAAGAGAUAUCUUGAAAACACGGAAAGAGAAAAGUCAAUACAAUAUUUCCUAAUUUUUUAAGAGGUCAGAGAAGGGAGUUACUGUGUGGCCUGGAGCAGGUGAUUCUGACUACCAAGGGAAAAUUGGAGUACUACUCCACAAUGGAGGGUCUGCAGGAUGGACCCGGCAGCUGGUGCCCUGUGUGAGGAACGCUGCAACGGACUGCGACAGAACCCUCGAAAACGAAGGUGAAGAGACUGUGCAGUCAUGUGACAGACACAUCAAACCAUACCAUGGCGUGGCUAAGACCCAAGCUGGUAUCAAAAAUAAAGGAAACGACGCUGCAGGACCCGCAGCCCCAGACGAUGUGGCUUCCUCCGAUGACACAGGCCCCAGACAUUACCUGGGGGAAGCUGAAGAAGACAACUCAGGAGGCCGAGUGAAUCCUUCUCUGGACACAGACACCAUCACUCCAGAUAAUCUGUUCCUUGCUAUGCUCUCUAUUGUACCUUGCAACUCUCAUAGGGUAUUCACCUUUCUUAUUCUCUCACUUUGCCUGCAACUCAUACCUGCUACAUUCUAUUGGGCCCAUCUUCUAAGAUCUGCCUUUCUUCCAACCUGUUACCUUGGCAGACACCCCCUUCCCAUCCUCUAAUAAUGUAACUGCUUAGCUGGGAGGGGUUGACAUGCCCCCAGUGGGGUUCCUUAAUAAUGGCACACAUUGAACUGAGGUGCCAAGUAACACUACAUAUCUCUCCUUGAUUGGAAAAGAAUAAUAGUGACUAUACUAAUGUUUGACUUAUGUUAUUUACUAAUUCUAGGAUGCAAAGCCGGAACACGAGCUGUAACCGCUGCGCCUGUCAAAUCUGUCACUGCACACAUCUGUACUAUUCAAUCAACAAAACCCGAUGCUAAAAACAGAAAAGGGGGAGACGCGGGAGAUCGGUCAGAGUGGUAGGAGAAGGUAUAGGGAAAGGAACAGACCUUCUGAAAGGCGGGAAGGCUCUGGAUAGCUUCAGGGAUGAAUAAGCUGAAGGCAGCUGUUCUCUUACCCUGAGGCAGAGGGCAAGGGGUAGGUAAGGAAGUAUAGGGGAAUUUGGCAUAAACAGGCUUGUUUACUUACAUUGUCCGGAAACCGACUUUGAUCAUCAGGGCAGGAGACUGCUCCCUGAAAGGGGGAAUAAUAAUGUUAAUUACCCACAGAUUGUGUUGGCUCCAGGCUUUCAUUAUUUUGUCUGUACUGAAUAAAAGCAAGCAGCUCCAGCUGUUCGAGACUGCUCACUCUUCAGCCAUUAGUGCUGGGCAUUCCUGUAGCUGCUCUUACACUGCAUGCCUGUGGCUGAGUACUCCUUUCAUCCGUUGCUUGGCCAGGGUCUGUGGGAUGGACCCCGCAGGUAAGGGUUAUCAAAAAAAAAAAAAAUUCACAGGCAGAUAGGAACACCAUGACCAUACUAAAAGGCUUUUUUCCCAUUUUAGUCUUGCAAGUUUGUAAAGAAGGAUAUGAAGCCCCUAAGAAAUCAGUGAAACACUUU
rnacentral:lncRNA from 1 species